UACGUAGGUGGCAAACGUUGUCCGGAUUUAUUGGGCGUAAAGGGAGCGCAGGUGGUUUCUUAAGUCUGAUGUGAAAGCCCACGGCUCAACCGGGGAGGGUCAUUGGAAACUGGGGAACUUGAGUGCAGAAGAGGAGAGUGGAAUUCCUAGUGUAGCGGUGAAAUGCGCAGAUAUUAGGAGGAACACCAGUGGCGAAGGCGACUUUCUGGUCUGUUACUGACACUGAGGCACGAAAGCGUGGGUAGCAAACAGG
rnacentral:rRNA from 1 species